GCGGGCGAAUCGCGUGCAGCCUCGGGAGCGUGCGCGCGCUCUUCCAAAGGGGAGGCUUGGAACGGACGUCCGGGAGUGGGCGGGGCGGGAGUGCUCAAGGAGGAGGGGGCGGGGAUGGCGACUUCUUUCCCAGGAGGAGAAUUGGGUGGAGAUGGCAUUGUUAAGAUGCGGCCGAGCGCGCCCUCUCUGCGCUCCCUCACUGCAGGAGGCGAGGGAGACUCUGGGACCCAGGCAGCUCUAUCCUUUUAAAAAGGGAGUCAAAGAAAGCCUCUUACAAUUUAAAGAAGAAGAAAGAUUCCAGACACUAAAUUAGUUUCCCUAUGGCUCGGGGCUAGAACUAGAACUUGAAUUACAGGUCUUUUACCCCACAAUCUAGGGUGGCGUGCCUGUAAAAACUUGUAAAAGUCAGAUACUAUGCAAUAAAACGUUUUCUUAUUUUAAUUUUUUUUUUAAAAGAACGUUGUUACUACGUUAACUGAGGUGUGUGUGUGUGUGAUUUCUUUUUGGGGGAUAUGGUCACAGCAUACCUUAAGAGUUAUUUGAAUGGUAACCAGGGCCUAGAUUUAACAGACUAUUUUGCUUCAGAGUGAGAUAAAACAUUUUCAAAUCCCUAAGUUUCCCUAACUACAGUUAGUAUUACUUAACAUAAAUCAGUAGGAACAUGAUUGGGGUUUUUUUGUUGUUAUUUUGUUUUCCCUUUCUACUUCAUGUAAAGCAGAAUUUUCAAUUAACAGUUUUACUUUUUUCUUUUAAAGUUUGCCCUUGGUCAUUGAGCCCCCAUUUCUGAAUAGCAAAUUACUCAUUAUUUGGGGACUAGAAAGAAGAGAUAUAUAGUCUACAAUUUCACAGCCUGUCUAGUUUUACCUAUUUUGGAACAGGAAACUCCUCUAAAACACAGCAGGGAAGUACUCAUCAAGGGUUUGCUUGAAAACUGUCAGAGGUGGAGCAACUCUGCUGUCUCCAAGACUUCUGUUGCCCUUUUAAGUUACUCUGAUUUUCCAACUGUGUUAUUGCUUUUAAGCUCUUGUGCAGUUUAAUCAUUUGCAAAGUGGGAAGAACAAUAAUGUCUACCUCCAAGGAUUGUUGUGAGAAUAGAAUGAGGUGUUAUUUGUAAAGAACCUUGCAAACCAUAA
rnacentral:lncRNA from 1 species